rnacentral:rRNA from 1 species
UACGAAGGGUGCAAACGUUGCUCGGAAUUAUUGGGCGUAAAGCGCACGUAGGCGGCUUAGCAAGUCGGAAGUGAAAUCCCUCGGCUCAACCAAGGAAGUGCUUUCGAAACUGCUGAGCUUGAGUACGAAAGAGGAUCGCGGAAUUCCCGGUGUAGAGGUGAAAUUCGUAGAUAUCGGGAGGAACACCAGUGGCGAAGGCGGCGAUCUGGGUCGAUACUGACGAUCAGGUGCGAAAGCGUGGGGAGCAAACAGG